AUUGAACGCUGGCGGCAUGCUUUACACAUGCAAGUCGAACGGCAGCACGGGGGCAACCCUGGUGGCGAGUGGCGAACGGGUGAGUAAUGCAUCGGAACAUACCCAGUCGUGGGGGAUAACGUAGCGAAAGUUACGCUAAUACCGCAUACGUCCUGAGGGAGAAAGCGGGGGAUCGCAAGACCUCGCGCGAUUGGAGUGGCCGAUGUCAGAUUAGCUAGUUGGUGGGGUAAAGGCCCACCAAGGCGACGAUCUGUAGCGGGUCUGAGAGGAUGAUCCGCCACACUGGGACUGAGACACGGCCCAGACUCCUACGGGAGGCAGCAGUGGGGAAUUUUGGACAAUGGGGGAAACCCUGAUCCAGCCAUGCCGCGUGCGGGAAGAAGGCCUCGG
rnacentral:rRNA from 1 species